GACGAACGCUGGCGGCGCGCCUAACACAUGCAAGUCGAACGAGAGAUGAGGAGCUUGCUCUUCAGAUCGAGUGGCGAACGGGUGAGUAACGCGUGAGGAACCUGCCUCAAAGAGGGGGACAACAGUUGGAAACGACUGCUAAUACCGCAUAAGCCCACGGCUCGGCAUCGAGCAGGGGGAAAAGGAGCAAUCCGCUUUGAGAUGGCCUCGCGUCCGAUUAGCUAGUUGGUGAGGUAACGGCCCACCAAGGCGACGAUUGGUAGCCGGACUGAGAGGUUGAACGGCCACAUUGGGACUGAGACACGGCCCAGACUCCUACGGGAGGCAGCAGUGGGGGAUAUUGCACAAUGGGGGAAACCCUGAUGCAGCGACGCCGCGUGGAGGAAGAAGGUCUUCGGAUUGUAAACUCCUGUUGUUGAGGAAGAUAAUGACGGUACUCAACAAGGAAGUGACGGCUAACUACGUGCCAGCAGCCGCGGU
rnacentral:rRNA from 1 species